AUUGAACGCUGGCGGCAGGCCUAACACAUGCAAGUCGUGCGAUCGGCGGACGGGUGAGUAAUGCCUGGGAAACUGCCUGAUGGAGGGGGAUAACUACUGGAACCGGUAGCUAAUACCGCAUACCAUCAGAUGUGCCCAGAUGGGAUUAGCUAGUAGGUGGGGUAACGGCUCACCUGGGAGACGAUCCAUAGCUGGGCUGAGAGGAUGACCAGCCACACAGGAACUGUGGCAGGUGCGAGACUCCUACGUAAGGCAGCAGUGGGGAAUGUUGCACGAGGGGCGCAAGCCUGAUGCAGCCAUGCCGCGUGUGUUAAGAAGGCCUUGGGGUUGUAAAGCACUGUCAGCGGGGAGGCGUUGCCCGCAGGAGAAGCACCGGCUAACUCCGUGCCAGCAGCCGCGGUAAUUC
rnacentral:rRNA from 1 species